rnacentral:lncRNA from 1 species
UCUCUCUCUCUCUCUCGUUAUAGUACAUUGGGACACAGCAUUUUCACAGACUCUUAAAAUUCAUUCAGUGUAGCAAUUUAGGGUGACUUAAUUAAAAAACAACUAACAGUGCCAUUAAGCUGGAGAGCAGAAGAGAUUUAAUCUCAGCCUUGAGUCCUACCUCUAGGCUGCAGGGAGCUUGGAUUCAACACUUUAGUUCUGUUUCCUUUUGUACUUGGGCCACAAUUCGGUGGUGUUGGUUGUACACUAUGCCUUAACUAGGUAGCUACUUCAGAAGAAGUGAAAAUUGAACCCAAGGGAAUUAACCUCGAUUUGAGUGAAAUCAAGUAGAUUACGAUGUCAAAAACUGCUCCAGUCAUGAUGUUCUGCAUGACCAGAAAAUUACAUGAGACUAGCAAUCAGGAGGGCUAGACUCGCUUUAUCUUGGCUCUCUCACAGAUUAUAGGAUUCUAAAACAAGAUAGAAUGGCCUUUGUACUUCUGAGAAUACUUGUCUGGGAGCUAAGCACUGAUAAAUACCACUAGGAAGGUUAAUGGGGUGGAGAGAGGGCUCAGUGGUUAAGAGCACACUGGCUGUCCUUCCAGAGGACCUGGGUUCAAUUCUCAGCACAUAAUACCUCCCCACUGUCUGUAACCCAAGCAUCAGUGGAUCUGGCACUGUCUUUUGUGGUUAUUAAAGCAUGUACAUUUAGACAAAACACUCAUAUGCAUAGCAUAAUUUUGCCAGGAAAGUUGACUUUUGGGCUGUGGCGAUAGCUUAGCCAAUAAACUGCUGGCCUUCCAAACGUGAGGACCUGAGUUUGAACUGUCAAAACCCAUGUUUUUUAAAAAGUGGUGGAUAUGCACUUGUAUUUGUUGUGGUGGUGUGGUAUUGUUUUUUUUUUAACUUUUUAUUGAUGCUUUAUAAACUUCACAUCAUGCACCCAAUUCUUCUCAUCUCCCUAUCCCUUGUAUCUGCCUUCCACCCUUGCAACCCUCCC